GUGAGGAAUAUUGCGCAAUGGAGGCAACUCUGACGCAGCCAUGCCGCGUGCAGGAAGAAGGCGCUACGCGUUGUAAACUGCUUUUAACCGGGAAGAAACCCCAGGACGUGUCCUGGGUUGACGGUACCGGAGGAAUAAGCACCGGCUAACUUCGUGCCAGCAGCCGCGGCAAUACGAAGGGUGCAAGCGUUAUCCGGAUUCAUUGGGUUUAAAGGGUGCGUAGGCGGAGCGUUAAGUCAGUGGUGAAAUCCUGCAGCUUAACUGUAGACUUGCCAUUGAUACUGGCGCUCUUGAGUGCGCUUGAAGUGGGCGGAAUGUGCCGUGUAGCGGUGAAAUGCUUAGAUAUGGCACAGAACACCAAUUGCGAAGGCGGCUCACUAAGGCGAUACUGACGCUGAGGCACGAAAGCGUGGGGAUCGAACAGGAUUAGAAACCCGGGUAGUCC
rnacentral:rRNA from 1 species